UGAUGUGGAUAUACCAGAAGAAUUGGAGUCCACAAUAUUUCAUGUGAGUUUGUACACUUUUACCUAACAAACGUAGUCAAUGAUGAUAGCAGUAUGCUUGUUACCCCCUGAGUUUCAGCAACAUUUCUAGAACAUUUUUUUCCCACGGUUCAUAAUAAUUGUUUUGAUGGAAGAAAAGGUUUUUGACUGUUCCCAAAACGUUUGAAGUGGUUUGAGGCAAAGUUUGAAUUUUUUAAAAAUAUGUUGAAAACUAUAGAGUGGGUGCCUGUGGUCUUCCUUACGGAUUUACGGUUGAGAAUUGUGAUUUUUUUAAAACUUUUUGAAACAUUGUAUUUUACAGUAUCAACCCCCCCAAAUAAAUUAUUGUUUUGACACAAAAAGGUGUAUAAAUAGUUUGAAGCGACAUAUGAACUUUUGGAAAAUCAGUUGAAAACCAAAACGGGGACCACAGUGCCCCUUGAUUACCUUUUGCAAUUGAGCACAUUUUUCAGAUUUUUACAUCCACGUUUGUGUUUGCCUGUCAGCAUGAUAACAUAAAAAAACUAUCAAACGUAUUAAUACGAAAGUAAAUUUUGUGGGACUAAUAUAGACAUUGCCCAAGAACAAAUUGAUUAAAUUUUGGUUAAAUUUAGAUGAAAAUUGCAUGAGAAAUGAGCAAAAGUUUGUCUUGUUUUGCCUGGCAGAGUUAACAGAAUGCGUAUAAUUUAUGCUUGAAUGUAAAAUUUUGCUCAGAUGUCGUCAAGGGCCAGAGCCGCCCAGAGGUUGCCUCAAGAAACCCUUUGGUGAACCACUGAUUCUCCAAAAGUUGAAAUUUCGCCUCAAACUACUGUACUCCAAAUGUUUUGGGAAUAGUAAAUUUUCUUUCAUCAAAUAAUUCUCUUUGACAGAUAAAUACCUCCGCAACCGAAUUAAAUUUAUGUUAUAAUAGUUUUGUUUGUGGAAACAUCACGUAAAUUUAUUACUGCAAAGCUUUCGAUCCGUAAGCCUGGAUCUUCAUGAUGAAGAUGCGGGCUUACGGAUCGAAAGUUUUGCAGUAAUAAAUUUACGUGGUAUUUCUACAAACAAAACUAUUAUAUGUUUUAUCGCCAUGCAAACAUACAAAGAACUUAAGUUUAUGUUGUUAAUGUACAUUUGUUUUACGUCUAGGGUGAUUUAUUUGAGUUCCUGGCUCGUCAUGAUGAAAUAAUUGCAGCGAUUAAAGAAAAGAGAGAUGCAUGUAUGAAGGAUUUAGCGAGGUUGGAACAGGAACUACAACAGCAAAAUGAUUGAAUUGAGGUAUGCUUCUUCCGUUCUACCGUCCGUUUACAUGAACGGCUCGCUUUCAACGUACAGUAUAUGAACGGGCUUUGCGAUUUAUUGGUGGGGACAAUUAAGGCAAUUACGGUAGAAUUAAGUGAGAAAAUAAUCCUACCAGAGUUAGUGCUGGAUAAUAUGUAAACAUAUUUAUAUAACGUCUUCUUUUUAAAAAAUUUGUAAAAUAAUGCGACUCCCCCUCUCAAAAAUCAAAAAUCUAAAUAAAAUUUAUAUAAAAUAUGCAAUAAAGUGUAAUAUAUUCUCCCGUUUUUCAAUUAUGACGUCACAGGGCCCGGGCCCCGCGCAACCUCUCGGCGGCCCUGGCCAGUAAUGAUAUCUUUUGCACCCAUAGAUAUCUUAUAUACACUAGAUAGUGCAUCUUUUUUAGUAAAAUUGAAGCCAAGACUAUUCCAGCGGUUACCAUGUUGGUCGUUCCCACUUGCAUUAACAAUCAACUAUAACUUUCAUCAUUUGAAUAGUUUAAAAAUAUAUUUGGAAUAGGGUUAACUUAAUUUUUAAGUUCCCUGUUUAAGAAAUAGAAAACAUACGAAUCUUCCCAUUUUAUGGGAACGACCUGAGACUGCAAUCACGGCUUCAAUUUUUGAAUUGCAGAAUAAUUAGAUGCACUAUCUAGUGUAUAUAAGAUAUUUAUGAUUGCACCUGUAAACUAUACCGUGAACGAAAAGAACUAUAAACACACAAUAUAUUUGAAUUUGAAUUUAUUGACAUUCCCUAAAAUGUGCUUUUCAAUGACAAUUUACAUAAAUUAAAAAAAUUUAUCAAUUAUAUUUACAACAAUCUUAUCAUUAAUGAUUAAUCAAUACAAUUACGUAAACUAAAGUUAUACUUUAUAUUAUAGUUUAUACGUUAAAAAAACAACAACGCUUUUAAAUAAAAAAUUCUUAAGUUUCGUCUUAAAAUAGUUCAAAUCACUAAUUGAUUUUAGCUCUGUAUCUAGACCAUUCCAUAUCUUAGUCCCUCGGUAUUUGAACGAUCUUUGACCGAUCGAUGUCCUAAAUUUUGGAAUAUCCAGGUCUCCAUUUCUUCUAGUAUCUCGGUUAUGAAUUCUGUUUCGUUGUUCAAAAUUGUCACAUAAAUACUGUGGAGCUUUUUCAUUGAAGCAUUUAAAUGUUAAUAACGCACCUCUGUACAAUAGAUGUUCUUUGAUUGACAACCACCCUAAGGGGUUUAAUGUCGGGGAUAUAUGAUCAUACUAAGGCACUCCUGUGAUUAAUCGGGCUGCUCAAUUUUGGAUUAAUUCAAUCUUUUUAUAUUGCUGUCUAACGUAUUGGACCAUGCAUAUUGGAUCACAAUAAAACAAGUUGGCUAACAUAUUAUUAACUGUAAUGUAAAUACUGUAAUGUAAUUAUCGUCUAUAAAAUAUCGGCUUGUCUCAAAAUUUAGAAAUAUUUCUUCAGAGAUCUUCUCUGGAUCGAUAGGAGUUUACUGCUCAGCUCUGAAGUUUUGAAAUAAACAGACAUGCAGAAAUACAUAAACUAAAACAGCAGGUUAAAUUUUAACCCAGGGUUAGCG